rfam:Oryza sativa (indica cultivar-group) chromosome 1, whole genome shotgun sequence.
AAUAAGUGUAGCCGUAGAUAUUCGUGUCCAACGUUUAACCGUCCGUCUUAUUUAAAAAAUUUAUGAAAAAAUGAAAAUAUUUAAUCACACAUAAAAUACUAUUAAUAUUUUAUCAUCUAAUAGCAAUAAAAACACUAAUCAUAAAAAAUUUUCAAAUAAAACGAACGGUUAAACGUUGAACGUGAAUAGUGCAAAACUGUACUUACU